rnacentral:rRNA from 1 species
GAUGAACGCUGGCGGCGUGCCUAAUACAUGCAAGUCGAGCGAACGGACGAGAAGCUUGCUUCUCUGAUGUUAGCGGCGGACGGGUGAGUAACACGUGGAUAACCUACCUAUAAGACUGGGAUAACUUCGGGAAACCGGAGCUAAUACCGGAUAAUAUUUUGAACCGCAUGGUUCAAAAGUGAAAGACGGUCUUGCUGUCACUUAUAGAUGGAUCCGCGCUGCAUUAGCUAGUUGGUAAGGUAACGGCUUACCAAGGCAACGAUGCAUAGCCGACCUGAGAGGGUGAUCGGCCACACUGGAACUGAGACACGGUCCAGACUCCUACGGGAGGCAGCAGUAGGGAAUCUUCCGCAAUGGGCGAAAGCCUGACGGAGCAACGCCGCGUGAGUGAUGAAGGUCUUCGGAUCGUAAAACUCUGUUAUUAGGGAAGAACAUAUGUGUAAGUAACUGUGCACAUCUUGACGGUACCUAAUCAGAAAGCCACGGCUAACUACGUGCCAGCAGCCGCGGUAAUACGUAGGUGGCAAGCGUUAUCCGGAAUUAUUGGGCGUAAAGCGCGCGUAGGCGGUUUUUUAAGUCUGAUGUGAAAGCCCACGGCUCAACCGUGGAGGGUCAUUGGAAACUGGAAAACUUGAGUGCAGAAGAGGAAAGUGGAAUUCCAUGUGUAGCGGUGAAAUGCGCAGAGAUAUGGAGGAACACCAGUGGCGAAGGCGACUUUCUGGUCUGUAACUGACGCUGAUGUGCGAAAGCGUGGGGAUCGAACAGGAUUAGAUACCCUGGUAGUCCACGCCGUAAACGAUGGGUGCUAAGUGUUAGGGGGUUUCCGCCCCUUAGUGCUGCAGCUAACGCAUUAAGCACUCCGCCUGGGGAGUACGACCGCAAGGUUGAAACUCAAAGGAAUUGACGGGGACCCGCACAAGCGGUGGAGCAUGUGGUUUAAUUCGAAGCAACGCGAAGAACCUUACCAAAUCUUGACAUCCUUUGACAACUCUAGAGAUAGAGCCUUCCCCUUCGGGGGACAAAGUGACAGGUGGUGCAUGGUUGUCGUCAGCUCGUGUCGUGAGAUGUUGGGUUAAGUCCCGCAACGAGCGCAACCCUUAAGCUUAGUUGCCAUCAUUAAGUUGGGCACUCUAAGUUGACUGCCGGUGACAAACCGGAGGAAGGUGGGGAUGACGUCAAAUCAUCAUGCCCCUUAUGAUUUGGGCUACACACGUGCUACAAUGGACAAUACAAAGGGCAGCGAAACCGCGAGGUCAAGCAAAUCCCAUAAAGUUGUUCUCAGUUCGGAUUGUAGUCUGCAACUCGACUACAUGAAGCUGGAAUCGCUAGUAAUCGUAGAUCAGCAUGCUACGGUGAAUACGUUCCCGGGUCU